GGUUUCCUGUGUUCUGGUAAAAGCUUUAUUUUCAAGACUUCUUUAUAAAAUAAAAAUAUAAAGAAAAACCUAGCUGUAAAACAAUGUAGCUUUUGAGGUCCUGUAAUUGGAAUGAGUCCACUUUAAAUCCUUUAAUGAGGAUCCAUUGGAGGGCAAGUCUGAUGCCAGCAGCCGCAGUAAUUCCAGCUCCAAUAGUGUAUAUUAACAUUGCUGCAAUUAAAAAGCUCGUAGUUGGAUUUUGGGAGCAGGCGUGCGGUCCGCUGCCAGCGGAGUCACUGCCCAUCCCCACCCCUUGACUCUUGGCGCCCCCUCGAUGCUCUAACCCCGGAUGUACUAUUGAAAAACUAUUUAACGAAUCUCAAAUUAAUAGAUUUCAUGUUUAGCACUAUUUGACUUAUCAAUG
rnacentral:ncRNA from 1 species